ACGAACGCUGGCGGCGUGCCUUAUACAUGCAAGUUGAGCGCUGAAGGUUGGUACUUGUACCAACUGGAUGAGCAGCGAACGGGUGAGUAACGCGUGGGGAAUCUGCCUUUGAGCGGGGGACAACAUUUGGAAACGAAUGCUAAUACCGCAUAAAAACUUUAAACACAAGUUUUAAGUUUGAAAGAUGCAAUUGCAUCACUCAAAGAUGAUCCCGCGUUGUAUUAGCUAGUUGGUGAGGUAAAGGCUCACCAAGGCGAUGAUACAUAGCCGACCUGAGAGGGUGAUCGGCCACAUUGGGACUGAGACACGGCCCAAACUCCUACGGGAGGCAGCAGUAGGGAAUCUUCGGCAAUGGACGAAAGUCUGACCGAGCAACGCCGCGUGAGUGAAGAAGGUUUUCGGAUCGUAAAACUCUGUUGGUAGAGAAGAACGUUGGUGAGAGUGGAAAGCUCAUCAAGUGACGGUAACUACCCAGAAAGGGACGGCUAACUACGUG
rnacentral:rRNA from 1 species